rnacentral:lncRNA from 12 species
AAGCCUAUGAUUACACAAUGCCUAAUUCAUGUCCUAGCCCUGCCCAGUCCCGCCUACCCACACUUCGUGUUAAAAUGAACCCAAAGUCCUUUUGCGCUUGCGCCUCCCCAAUUUAGGGGUCGUGGAGGGUCUCUGAGGAAGGAUUCCAAACUCUACGUCGCACCUGAACCUUUUGACUUUGUCUCCGCAGCACGCGUCUUAGCCCUGUGGGCACGCUCCAGACACCUGGAGCAAACAGGUAAAAACCAAAGUCGAACCUGCAGCAGAGGCCCCAGUGAGUGUCUGUGUUUGCUCACGUGUCAGGGUGUUCCUUCUCCUUGGAGCACACCUGGUACAGGGAUCAGCUCAGGUGGCCUGGGACCGUCCCUGCUUUGGGAGGAUGAAGAAGUAUGCUGAAGUGUCUCAGAAAUCCUGGCUGCACAUAAAAAAUACAGGAAUCUGCUGGAUGUAAAAAUACAUUGGGUUGUAU